CUGUUUUAAUUGACGAAAAUACCACUAGAGUUUGAAGGAAAUAACAUAACAAGAGGUAACAAGGUACUGGUUUGGCUUUGCAUUGUCUUUCGCUUUGGAAUAAAAGUAUAUUCCAAUGGUAUAUUGGGCAAUGCUGCCUCAUUUUUAUUGCUUAAAAGGGAAUCUAAUAACAGAAUCUUCUAUCACUCUCUUCCUGAAUUUAAAAAGGAAGUUUCUUCCUUUGAUUUACAACUUCUUAACCAAGCAAAGAACCACAACAACAUCGCUCUGUCCCUCAUGAACAAUCAAGUGCCAGGUUCGACUUUAUAAUCCCAUUAAAUUAUGUUUUAAUCGAUGGGUGGUAUAUUAAUUACACCGAACGCUUUCUGUUCUGCCCAGUCAAAGAAGCAGAAUGGUUAAACAAAAGAAAUGGUUUGGCCCUUCAUCUCCACUUUGGAGCUGUAAUCUGUGAAGGCUCAUCAUGUUAGCAUUGUACUUUGCAAGUGAAGGUAACCCCACCGGAGUCCAGAGAGCGCUGUGGUAAUUUCUCCCCAUUUCUGUCUCCUAAUGCAAAGCUAAGGAACCUUGUGCUAUUAACGAAGAUAA